rnacentral:misc_RNA from 1 species
UCGAAUAAACUUGAACAGGUUGUUUGCUGGCCCUUCUAGGGGGGUAUGUGCACGCUUGUCAUCUUUAUCAUUUUUCCAACUGUGCACACUUUGUAGACCACGGGGAGCAUUUUUUUUCCCUUUGCGUUCAAUUUCGGGUCUGCUGCGCUUUCACAAGUCAGCUUUCCCUCGUAUUUCCCUGGUCUAUGUUCUUUUCUUCACAACCUCUACAAUCAUUUGGAAUGUACCUAUUUAAAGUUAAUA